rnacentral:rRNA from 1 species
UGGUCAUUUAGAGGAAGUAAAAGUCGUAACAAGGUCUCCGUUGGUGAACCAGCGGAGGGAUCAUUACCGAGUUUACAACUCCCAAACCCAAUGUGAACCAUACCAAACUGUUGCCUCGGCGGGGUCACGCCCCGGGUGCGUCGCAGCCCCGGAACCAGGCGCCCGCCGGAGGGACCAACCAAACUCUUUCUGUAGUCCCCUCGCGGACGUUAUUUCUUACAGCUCUGAGCAAAAAUUCAAAAUGAAUCAAAACUUUCAACAACGGAUCUCUUGGUUCUGGCAUCGAUGAAGAACGCAGCGAAAUGCGAUAAGUAAUGUGAAUUGCAGAAUUCAGUGAAUCAUCGAAUCUUUGAACGCACAUUGCGCCCGCCAGUAUUCUGGCGGGCAUGCCUGUCCGAGCGUCAUUUCAACCCUCGAACCCCUCCGGGGGGUCGGCGUUGGGGAUCGGGAACCCCUAAGACGGGAUCCCGGCCCCGAAAUACAGUGGCGGUCUCGCCGCAGCCUCUCAUGCGCAGUAGUUUGCACAACUCGCACCGGGAGCGCGGCGCGUCCACGUCCGUAAAACACCCAACUUCUGAAAUGUUGACCUCGGAUCAGGUAGGAAUACCCGCUGAACUUAAGCAUAUCAAUAAGCGGAGG